ACCUUCCACCUACGGAGUUGGGCCGUCCCUCCCAAAUCCCAAAUUUAUUUUUAUCUCCUUGUCAUUUAUUUUUAACCUUUCUGACCGUUCCCCAAGGUUUCGGACCCUCGUUGGUUUUUCUUAUAGGAAUGAUUUGCAAAAGGGUCCAAAGAAAUCAAUGUUGAAAGGUAGCCAAGCUGGAAAGGGACGGUCUAUUGGCCCCACAGUUAAGAAGACAAGGAGAGGCCUAAAGGAGCAACGCACCGGUUUAAAACGACGUCUUUAUACCUGCCAGAGAAAACAGGGAGAUGUUGAAAGGGGAUGUUGAUGAUGGGCCUGUUGACGGCUGGCCAUCGGUUCCGAAGUAACACGGGUUCUUGGAUAAACCUAGAGUAGUCUGUCUACACUAUGGAAAGAUGGGAAAUUUCUUUACCUCCUGAGGGUGUCUGAAGGGUUAAAAAUGCUGAUAUUGUGCUGUUUUUCUCCCUCCCUUUUGCACAUUAUUCUGAAAACAAAAUUUGGAUCAGUAAGGGUGUGCACUUCACCUGUUAGGAGUUAAUAAAAUUAUAGCUGAUAAAUGGAUUCUCCUAUCAAAGAAAGGCUAAAGAGAGUGAUUACAAAUGACAAAAACAUGGUAGAAGCAGUCUCCGAUAUAUGCCGAUAACU